GGGGUUGUAGGACACUCUUUUGGAGUUAGAAAUGUAUCGCUUAGACGAAGCAUCUGGAAAGAUGCAUCAGAGAAGGUAAUAAUCCUGUAGUCGAAAAGUUAUACACUCUUGAGUGGAUCCUGAGUACGACGGAGCACGUGUAAUUCCGUCGGAAUCUAGGAGGACCAUCUCCUAAGGCUAAAUACUCUCUAGUGACCGAUAGUGAACCAGUACCGU
rnacentral:rRNA from 12 species